GACGAACGCUGGCGGCGUGCUUAACACAUGCAAGUCGAACGGAAAGGCCCUGCUUGCAGGGUACGCGAGUGGCGAACGGGUGAGUAACACGUGGGUGAUCUGCCCUGCACUUCGGGAUAAGCGUGGGAAACGGGGUCUAAUACCGGAUAGGAACCAUCGUUAGGGUGGUGGUGGGAAAGUUUUUUCGGUGUAGGAUGAGCUCGCGGCCUAUCAGCUUGUUGGUGGGGUAAUGGCCUACCAAGGCGGCGACGGGUAGCCGGCCUGUGAGGGUGUACGGCCACACUGGGACUGUGAUACGGCCCAGACUCCUCCGGGAGGCAGCAGUGGGGAAUAUUGUACAAUGGGCGCGAGCCUGAUGCAGCGACGCCGCGUGGGGGAUGAAGGCCUUCGGGUUGUGAACUCCUUUCGCUAGGGACGAAGCUUUGUUGUGACGGUACCUAGAGAAGAAGCACCGGCUAACUACGUG
rnacentral:rRNA from 1 species